GACAAUAAAUACAAUAUUAAUUGUUAUUGUCUGAGAUUUUGGUCUAAUUUGAGAGGAUAAUACAAAAGUUAUGGAUGAUUUAGUGAUUUACUGCAAAACCCAUGGCGGCCAAAAUGAUCAGAACGGUUGCUUUUACUCCGUGUAAAUAUCAUCCAUAACUUUUGUAUUAUCCUCUCAAAUUACACCAAAAUCUCAGGCAAUAAAAACUAAUAUUGUAUUUAUUGUCUGUGAAAAUUAUAGAAUAUAAAACAACUUUGAUAAAAAAUUAUAUCUACUUUUCUGACAAAAACAAUGCCGUUCUGAACAUUUUGGCCGCAACAGUAAGGUAAACAUAUUCACUGAUAAUAUACUUUACCAUUUAUGUUAUACAAAAAGAGAAACGUAAUGUUUCUGUAUAACUUGAGAACCUGAUGAAUAAGAAACACCAUGAAUUACUAUUUACCAUAUAUAUUUCAAAAACGAUUCUAUACUGUCCAUAAAAAAACUCUUGCAGACUACAGUUAUUCAUCAUGAAGGUAAGCAGUGCUUGAUUGGUUGGAGGGAAUUCCAGCAAAAUUGUAUUAAGCACGAAUAGCUUGAGAGAGCUGAUCGCAAGGGUUGUGAUUUGGAUUCACCUUAGUAGAUUGGCACACAGCCUAAUUUGAUAUGUUACAAGUGUGGGCGUGUCUUUUUAAUUAAUGUAGACCUUAGUAGUCAGAUAAGCUACACACGUGUCGAGGUUGCUAACUAUGCAUUGUGGAGGCGCAAUGGCCCAGUGGUUAGGGCAGCGGACUCGCGGUCAUAGGAUCGCGGUUUCGAUUCCCAGACCGGGCGUUGUGAGUGUUUAUUGAGAGAAAACACCUAAAGCUCCACGAGGCUCCGGCAGGGGAUGGUGGUGAUCCCUGCUGUACUCUUUCACCACCACUUUCUCUCACUCUUACUUCCUGUUUCUGUUGUACCUGUAUUUCAAGGGGCCGGCCUUGUCACUCUCUGUGUCAUGCUGAAUAUCCCCGAGAACUACGUUAAGGGUACACGUGUAUGUGGAGUGCUCAGCCACUUACACGUUAAUUUCACGAGCAGGCUGUUCCGUUGAUUCGGAUCAACCGGAACCCUCAUCGUCGUCGUAACCGACGGAGUGCUUCCAUCCAACUAUGCAUUAUACGGCUUCUUUACUUUCAGGGGAAGUGUAAGAGAAUGUGUAUCAUGGAGGAGACUGAAAAGUCAUUUGACGGUUCACCAAAACAAUCAAUGUAGCCAUCUUGCUACAUCUGUAUAAAAAAGUGUAAGUUCUUAUCAGAACUGAAAACCCACAUCCCUGCUACCCAUAUUUAAGCGAAUAAUUAAAUGAUGGCAUUACCCGUGAUCGCGUUGCAGCUGUAGCAAUAUCGUCUCAGUGCUAUCUUCACUGUUUGAGAAGAGUAUAUAGAAUGACCUCGGUCGAGAUUACAAACAGCUUUGGCUAGUUCAACAUUGAUGUAAACACUAAUUCGAUUGGCUGACACGUUGGUCUCUACUACGCUCGCACCGCUGGUUAUAACUUGGCGCAAAAUGUCUCGACUUAUUUUCGCGCCAUAGUCCAAGCAGCCAAUCACAGCUUUCCAUUUCUGAAGUUCACUGGGAGCCGGGUGAAGCUUAUAAAACAAGGUUUCUCAGAAGAAAUAUCGUCUUUGACUUUUAGUUCUUCUCAGAGCUAAGUCUCUGACCAUAGAGCUCGUCUUAGGUUUCCAGUCCUUCUCAGGGCGAACCUCUGACCACACAGCUCGUCUUAGGCUUUUAGUUCUUUUAAGAACUAAGUCUCUGACCACACAGAAUACUCGACCAAGUUCCAGUUUCGAGGCAGGCGACCACCAUUAAUACAAGAUGUUACAGAUACCUCUCAUACUGUUAAUGUGAAAUAUCACCAUGAAGAAAACGGUUACAAGAUAUCUAUAACUAGAGAAAAAUAACCAAGCAGAAAAUAAUGAAGAAGCAGCAAGAACCAAUCGACAAACAUCGAAGAUUUAAAUUGUACACGAGACAACUACAGAUUCAACUAUAGCGGUUAGGUGAAAUUCUCGCCACGAAGAAAACGGCUACAGAAACAUGUCUGGAAGUAUAUUCAUAUCAAGAGAAAGAUAAACACAACGAGUGAUUCAAUUAAUCUCAACUGCGACACGCAAUAUCUUGAUAUGGAAGUCUGACGCUGUACCUCUUGAAACGGUAAAUCAAUUAUCUGUUCUUGGGUUCUAGUUUCUUCUAAGAACUACCUUAAGCCAUCUGUUAUUACCUGUUGCCAAGCCGAUACCAACAACAUUAACUGUGAAUCAAAUCCCAUCGUCUUUUCACUGGUCAGUUACCUUUUUACGCCUAACGAACACACAGACACAAAAACAUGCGAACACUUACAAACUCCCAACCAACAGGAUUGUAAAAUAUGUAAAAUAAAUAAUGUAUAUAUCUUAAAAAGAAAUCUUGUUGUCAUUCCAAACUUAUGUGUAUUGCCGCUGCAUGUAAAAUAUAUUAUUAAGAAUAGGAUAACGUACUUAUUUUUAUACAGCCAUCAUGCAAGAAUGUAGAUGUGUGUUUAUGUAUGUAUGUAUAUAUGUAUGUAUAUAUAUAUAUAUAUAUAUAUAUAUGUUUGUAUGCAUGUGUGUAUACAUGUGUGUAUGCAUGCAUAUGUGUAUGCAUGCAUAGGUGUGCAUGUGUGUGUAUGUGUGUGUGUGUAUGUGUGUGUGUGUGUGUGUGUGUGUGUGUGUGUGUGUGAGAGAGAGAGAGAGAGAGAGAGAGAGAGAGAGAGAGAGAGAGAGAGAGAGAGAGAGAGAUGUAGUAACAAUAACAUUAAAUGACGUAGUUCUUCACCAGUAACUAGGGGCAUAUGAGUGUCUGCGGCUUUCAGAACCUUUAGUUAAUGCAAUCGCUAAAUCCACAAGGAAUACUUGACACUCCAGUGACCUAAAGCUAUAGUUACGAAAAUGUACACACAUAUGAUUCACUUAAUUAUUCUUUUAACAUUUUAAUGUAUUAUGUGCUGCUAUUCCAUUAGGGAAUAUUAAACCCUUCGUUGACAUAUUGAUGCCUCGUAUCAUUAUCUGCACGACUUCAUCACGUGGACGAGAUAUUCGUUGUCAUUUUUUUUUUUGCCAUGGAAGAAACCUUGGAUAUUUGGCUGGCGGAAAGGGUAAAGGUUUUUCUCAGACCAGGAUUUGACCCGAAUGCUUGAAACACCGUGAUUCUCUCCGCUAAAUGCACCUAAUGACAAUGCAGGAGUGUUAAAAUGGGCAAUGUAUUAAAAUCCUAAGUCAAUGAUGUUAGUUGUUAUUGUAAAAAUACUUCGCAGUUCUGAUUGAGGAGACAUGAUCAAAAGGUUUCCCGUCAAUCCGAGAUACUGCGAAUCCACUACUAACGUGUUCAACCCCACCAUUUUUUAAGGAUGGCAGUGUUCAAUUCUAACGUGGUUUGGCUGCUAUUUCCAGCAGAUUGAAAAAACACACGGAAUUGUUGGUUGUAGAGGGGUAGAAUCUGUUGUCGUUUAGCACCAAACCAACCUUGAUCAAGCAAACGUAUGAUCAAAAUUGUGUUCCAACGAUAAAUAGCUAGGUACGUAUAUACAUACAUGCAUACAAACAUGCAUGCAUGCGUAUGUACGUACCGACGCACGUACACACGCGUAUGUGCGCAUGGGUGUAUGUCUAUGUGACAAAGUACUUAUUGACUAAGUUCUGCAAUCUGUUCAUUUUUAAGAGAGUAUGAUAUGAUUUUACAGAGACUUGGCCGCUAAUUCUCAUAGAGGUUUCUCCUUUGUUAGCUGUUGUGUUAAUAUGGGAGAAGUAUAGCAAUUCUCGAGCGACUUUGCUUUAUUUGUUUUGUUCCCUCUAGAUUUUAGAAUUUCGCCUCUGUUAUUGUUUAGAUUAAUCUACAACAGCCAAAACUAAUGAUAAACGAUAACAAAUAUUUUGUUGCUUGGUAUAUGAGGAUCAACCUGUGAUUGAUUAAUCCUAAGUUAGUGUUGAUCAAGCAGAUCUCUGAUAAAAGGCUUUCCAGCCAAAAUAAUUUCGUAUGGAGAGAGCUACAAUCACCUAAUGUUUUAAAGGCAAUAGUGGGUGUUUUCAGGGAAAUUUGAGGCUGUUAUUUUUAUGAGAAACAGAGUUACCACUGAGAGGCUUUCUUGCCGGCUCGUCCGUCAAGUAUAUUUGCCAGUUACUCAUGUAGCAUUAGAGACAGUUCACAAACCCCGUGGUUCAGUGGUCCUCAACGAUAUUUUUUUCUAUCUGUGGAACCCUUUAUUGCCAUUCAAUAUUUAAAAAACUAGUUUCAUAGACACUUCUUUCAAAAUUUCUCAUUUUGUUUUUUCCUCAUUAACUUGUGCAGGCUUGCAAUUGCAACGGGGAACAAGUUUCAGUGUCCGGAAACAGGUUUAGAGAAAGAAACCUAAUUGUUUCUUGCAAUAAAUACAUCUAGACCAACAUUUUUCGUUAACCCCUAAAAUAUUACCAUGAAUCCCCAAGUCACUGUUUUGCUGGUAUACACUCUCAUAAAUCUUAUAUGAACCCCAUGGUCAUGUGCAACCCUGUUGAGGGCCACUGUCGUAGACUAUUAUUCUGCAACUCUUCUGGCUAAGGAUGAGUCCAACAAACUUUUCAUAUGGAAGUUCUCUACUGAAUGAAUUGCCCUUGUCUAACGUAAGUAGAGAAUAUCAGAUUAGUGUAACUCCUCCGCUUUCUGGUUUUACUCGUGGUAAGAGCAUGAGGACAAGGCAAAGUUUAAUAACCAACACAUAGAAUGUGAAAAUCGUUUCAGUUACUUUGAAAUUCACUCGGAAAUGUACCUUCUUCUAUAUAUACGGUUAUCUUUUAAGGUUACAGCUUAGAAAAAAUAUUCGUUCUUUAGUGGUGUUGCUGUUUAAAAAUAAUGCCAAUGCCUAUAUAGAUAUUCAUCCAAGUGAAACCACACUAAUUCCUCUGAUUGUAUUUACUUUUGCAAUUGGCAUUUUCAUCCUUGAAUAUCGAUAGCAAGAUUAAAAGAAACGUGAAAUGUGCACAUUUAUAGGGAAAUUGAUGUUCUUAUUCAAUUAUGAAAGCAUUAAUGAACGUAAAUAAAGAAUAAAGGGAGAUAUACGGGACUGAGUAAUACAUCGAAAAUCGUUCGCAGUCGAUUCUUAUCAUUUCACGCAUGAUGAACGUAAGCAUAUAUGUUUAUAUAAACAUGUUUCCAUGCAUAUAUGCAAUGACUAAGAAGUUUCGUUCCCUUGUCUGUCCUUGUUCGGUUUAUAUAUCCACCACUAGUGAUGACAACAACCGGUGGUUUGUCUUUAAAGCAACCGUGGCUGAUAAGAUGUUUAGUAAUCGAAAUAUCUAGACGUUCCUUGAAAUAACACGAGGUAAAUAAUCCAGGCAUUUUAAUUAUCUGCUAUUUUCUCCAUUUGUUUAACUCAUCUACACAUAAAAAAAAACUCUAGCACCGAUUACUUGCUGAGUCGUUUGCCUUCUUAGUUUUUCUCAAUUUUUUCUUCUGAAUAUGUUUCCGGGACUUUAAGUAUGUUUUGACUCUUUAAUAUCUUGCUUUUGAUAUAAUCCUGCGUUCAGUUCCGGUCAGAAAAUUCAUUAUUUUCUAUGACGUAUAAUUAUUUCAAUUGUUUUAUUUUGUACGUAAUACUGUUCGUGCGAUGAUUUAUUAAAAAUGCUUUACGUGUCUGUGUGUGAGGGUGAAGAGAGAGAGAGAGAGAGAGAGAGAGAGAGAGAGAGAGAGAGAGAGUGAGAGAAAAAUGAUUUGUUAUAAAUUAUACGAACGUGCGAAGUAUGACAAUUGCUGUGUGUGCGAUGACUUAAUUCAAAUGUCGAUAUUCCUAUUCCUUUUUAUCUCCAGUUCAGCUGUUUCAACAAAUUUACGAUCAAAGGCUUUCUUAUCGUGACCACCUCGUCAUGUUUCCAUGAUUGGUGUAUCCUUUAUCAAAUUAUUCAACGAGCACUUCUCUUUUUAAGGCAGCAGUGUGGGAUUUGAGGGCUAUUUGGUCGGCUCUUAUUUCUAGUAGAUCAUGGCCUCGUAAAGAACCUCACUCGCUUGGCUCACUUGCAAAUGAUGUAUGAGUAUGAGCGUGUGAUGACUUAUUACAAUUGAUACUUUCUCUAAGUUGCUUGUCACUGAUCUCAUCAUCAAAAGAACAAUUGAUUUUUUUUUUUUGAUUUUUGUUAGUUUAUUUAUUUAUUGCUACUUCUUUUCCUUUCAUCAGAAUGCGACUUAAUAAACAAAGACAACAACGGCAACAUGAAUAAUAGCACCAACGGCAAUAACAACAACAGGAACAAAACGACAACAACAACAAUACAACAGUAGCAGAAGCAAUAACAACAACCAUAACAAGAAAAACAUGAUAAUCACAAAAGACUUGAGAAAAACACCAAACUCAACCAUACAUACAAAACAGUUGAACAUGACGUCUUUAUAUCAGUAAUAUUCAAUAAACAGUGUCAACAUUAAGUUUGUAGCGAAGGCAUCAAGAGGAACAUGCGUCAACCAUCUUUGUAAAAACUGAAUAAAAUUAACAACAA
rnacentral:lncRNA from 1 species